rnacentral:rRNA from 1 species
GAUGAACGCUGGCGGCGUGCCUAAUACAUGCAAGUCGAGCGAACAGAUGAGGAGCUUGCUCCUCUGACGUUAGCGGCGGACGGGUGAGUAACACGUGGAUAACCUACCUAUAAGACUGGGAUAACUUCGGGAAACCGGAGCUAAUACCGGAUAAUAUAUUGAACCGCAUGGUUCAAUAGUGAAAGACGGUUUUGCUGUCACUUAUAGAUGGAUCCGCGCCGCAUUAGCUAGUUGGUAGGGUAACGGCUUACCAAGGCAACGAUGCGUAGCCGACCUGAGAGGGUGAUCGGCCACACUGGAACUGAGACACGGUCUAGACUCCUACGGGAGGCAGCAGUAGGGAAUCUUCCGCAAUGGGCGAAAGCCUGACGGAGCAACGCCGCGUGAGUGAUGAAGGUCUUCGGAUCGUAAAACUCUGUUAUUAGGGAAGAACAAAUGUGUAAGUAACUAUGCACGUCUUGACGGUACCUAAUCAGAAAGCCACGGCUAACUACGUG